UGCGUAGGGUCCGAGCGUUGUCCGGAAUUACUGGGCGUAAAGAGCUCGUAGGUGGUUUGUCGCGUUGUCCGUGAAAACUCACAGCUCAACUGUGGGCGUGCGGGCGAUACGGGCAGACUGGAGUACUGCAGGGGAGACUGGAAUUCCUGGUGUAGCGGUGGAAUGCGCAGAUAUCAGGAGGAACACCGGUGGCGAAGGCGGGUCUCUGGGCAGUAACUGACGCUGAGGAGCGAAAGCGUGGGGAGCGAACAGG
rnacentral:rRNA from 1 species